UUAUUUUAAAUGUUGUUGAAAAAAAAAAGCAACUUGAAAAAAGUUAUUUAGUUAUUUUAGAAUUCUUAUAAUUAAAACAAGUCAAAUUUGACUUUAAAUAAAUUUCUAAUGCCCUCUAACAAACAUAAUAGUUUCUCUAGAGAGAAUGAAUUCGAAUGAUUAUGAAUUCAAAUGAUUGAUGCAGAAACAAUAUGCACGGCCAGUUGAAAGUGCCCAUUAAUGUAUGUCAUUACAUAACUAUGGUGUGCAACGGAAGUACAGAACCAUGGUACAUCAGAUGUGAUCAGGAAAACAACUAUGUGUCCGAUUAGCAUUGUGGUUGGACAGCCAAAACUAAUUUUCAGGGAAAACAAAUUGCACCAUUUUAGAUGCUACUAAAAAAAACAAUUUAGAAAAAAUUGUUUUAUUAUUUUAAUG
rnacentral:misc_RNA from 1 species